UGCUCCUAAGUUAGUGGCGAACGGGUGAGUAAUGCAUCGGAACGUACCGUGUAGUGGGGGAUAACCCGGCGAAAGUCGGAUUAAUACCGCAUACGAUCUACGGAUGAAAGUGGGGGACCGCAAGGCCUCACGCUAUACGAGCGGCCGAUGUCGGAUUAGCUAGUUGGUAGGGUAAAGGCCUACCAAGGCAACGAUCCGUAGCGGGUCUGAGAGGAUGAUCCGCCACACUGGGACUGAGACACGGCCCAGACUCCUACGGGAGGCAGCAGUGGGGAAUUUUGGACAAUGGACGCAAGUCUGAUCCAGCCAUGCCGCGUGAGUGAAGAAGGCCUUCGGGUUGUAAAGCUCUUUUGUCAGGGAGCAAAUCCUGUUUCUUAAUACGGAACGGGGAUGAGAGUACCUGAAGAAUAAGGACCGGCUAACUACGUGCCAGCAGCCGCGGUAAUACGUAGGGUCCAAGCGUUAAUCGGAAUUACUGGGCGUAAAGCGUGCGCAGGUGGUUACGUAAGUCUGAUGUGAAAUCCCCGGGCUCAACCUGGGAACUGCAUUGGAGACUGCGUGGCUAGAGUGUGGCAGAGGGGGGUGGAAUUCCGCGUGUAGCAGUGAAAUGCGUAGAGAUGCGGAGGAACACCAAUGGCGAAGGCAGCCCCCUGGGUUAACACUGACACUCA
rnacentral:rRNA from 1 species